CUCUCUUAGGCUCUUGCUUCAGGAAGGCCUAAAGUGAAAAUCUUUUCGGAAAUGCUGAUAUUGGCUUAUUCCUCACCCCAGAUGUCUCUGGAGAUUUUGCAGGGGUCGCCCAGAGGUGACCCUGAGACCACUGGAGAAGAAAUAAAUGAAGGCCAUGAAACUUCCUUGAACUAGUGGGAAUCCAUGAGAAAAUCUGACAUUAUGUUUUCUUCUCUUGGAAUAGAAAUAUUGUUUGACUUCUGUUUUGCUGACAAGAAACGAGGCCAGACCACCCACCUGAGCAAGGCUACCUGGGACAAUGACCUCACAUAUGGAAAACAUUGGAGCCCAUCUGCUUCCAAUCUGCUGUUUUCCAAAAAUUAGGGAAGUUGUUUUCCCUUUGAUACCCUCUGUUUCUAACAAUCCCAAUGCCAACACUGUCCUGUUUCUACAAGAGACAAUGACAAAUAUGAGCCUGAAGGAAGAUGAGCUGAUGGCAUUCCCAGCUUAUUACCACUCCUUGGGGGCCUUAUCUUACAUACAUGGAUUCAAUUCGUAGACUCAGCUGGGUAUGGAGAAUGAGAGAGAGGGAAGGGAAGGCUGAGUCCCCAGUUUCCGGCUUGGACAACUGUGAAGAUAGUGCCUUUUGCUGAGAUGGAGAAUAUUAGAAGAGGAGAAAUUUGAGGGAAGGGAAAUGCCAAUUUUAAUUCAGCCUUCUCUUAUGUUUGAAAUACAUGUGAGAAAAGUAAAACAACAUACCAGUAGUGCUGUAAU